rnacentral:rRNA from 1 species
UACGAAGGGGGCUAGCGUUGCUCGGAUUUACUGGGCGUAAAGGGCGCGUAGGCGGAUGUUUAAGUCGGGGGUGAAAGCCCGGGGCUCAACCUCGGAAUUGCCUUCGAUACUGGACAUCUUGAGUACGGGAGAGGUGAGUGGAACUCCGAGUGUAGAGGUGAAAUUCGUAGAUAUUCGGAAGAACACCAGUGGCGAAGGCGACUCACUGGCCCGUUACUGACGCUGAGGCGCGAAAGCGUGGGGAG